ACCACAUUUAUUUACGAAAAUGCC
rnacentral:siRNA from 1 species